UACGUAGGGGGCAAGCGUUGUCCGGAAUCAUUGGGCGUAAAGCGCGUGUAGGCGGCCCGGUAAGUCCGCUGUGAAAGUCCAGGGCUCAACCCUGGGAUGCCGGUGGAUAUGUCGGGCUCGAGUCCGGAAGAGGCGAGUGGAAUUCCUGGUGUAGCGGUGAAAUGCGCAGAUAUCAGGAGGAACACCAAUGGCGAAGGCAGCUCGCUGGGACGUGACUGACGCUGAGACGCGAAGCGUGGGGAGCAAACAGGAU
rnacentral:rRNA from 1 species